CGAAGCAACGACGAAGAACCUUACCAGGUCUUGACAUUCCCUGACAACCCGAGAGAUCGGGCGUUCCCCUUCGGGGGACAGGGUGACAGGUGGUGCAUGGUUGUCGUCAGCUCGUGUCGUGAGAUGUUGGGUUAAGUCCCGCAACGAGCGCAACCCUCGACCUUAGUUGCCAGCAUUCAGUUGGGCACUCUAAGGUGACUGCCGGCUAAAAGUCGGAGGAAGUGGGGAUGACGUCAAAUCAUCAUGCCCCUUACUGACCUGGGCUACACACGUGCUACAAUGGGCGGUACAAAGGGUCGCGAACCCGCGAGGGGGAGCCAAUCCCAAAAAGCCGCUCUCAGUUCGGAUUGCAGGCUGCAACUCGCCUGCAUGAAGCCGGAAUCGCUAGUAAUCGCGGAUCAGCAUGCCGCGGUGAAUACGUUCCCGGGCCUU
rnacentral:rRNA from 1 species